UACGGAGGGUGCGAGCGUUGUCCGGAAUCACUGGGCGUAAAGGGCGCGUAGGCGGCGCGGGAAGUCAUCGGUGAAAGUUCAGGGCUCAACUCUGAAUCGGCCGGUGAUACUCUCGUGCUUGAGCACUGUAGAGGCAGGUGGAAUUCCGGGUGUAGCGGUGGAAUGCGUAGAGAUCCGGAAGAACACCGGUGGCGAAGGCGGCCUGCUGGGCAGUAGCUGACGCUGAGGAGCGAAAGCGUGGGGAGCGAACAGG
rnacentral:rRNA from 1 species